rnacentral:lncRNA from 1 species
UGUGAUGGAACCUCCCAAGUAAUUAGGCCCACCUACAGUUGUCCUUGUCCAACAGACAUCAAACACCCUGUAGAUGUUCCUAAGUCACUUGACAAGUUCGGUAUCUUUCCUUACCUUACCAGGAACGUUUCACCCGUCUUGCAGACAUUACAGAACAUCGGAGGUAAAGAAAUGCGGAAGCAAUUACAUAAACUUACAUUUGUUUAGAAAGUAAGAUCAAGUUACUUUUUACAGACCAGAGCUAUAAACGAGUGCUGAGUAUUAUUAUUACACAUAUCAAGGGAGGCAGAAACUCCUCCCGAUAGCUUUUAAACAAAAAGAUCCUAUAUGGAGGACCACGUCCUCCCGCAUCUUCACUCUUGUUUUUCUUCAUUUGGUACCACCUUGGAGCAAAAGCAACAAAAAUUUGUCGCUUCCUCACCUAAAAACAACAAAGGGAUAAACCCUGAGUAUGGAAUUACUCAGCAAGUCUUACCCGACUAAGGAAAAGACUCUCAAGGGUAUGCUGGAUAAAUAGGAGUCAAGGAGACGCUUUAGCAAAAAUCAACUUAUACUUUUGCAGAAGUAGCUUACUAAAGUGAGUCCUUACUUUCAAUCUUUUAACGCCAUAUUAAGUAUUAAUAGACUCUAUUUGCAUCUAGUCUAAUUUCACAUCACAUCAAGACAACAUCAUUUUUAUCCAUAGUGUUCACGUCCUGACUUUAGGUUGCAGGUCAGUGAUCAAGUCUCCACUCUCCGGGGAUAUAACGGCGAUCCGAAUCGAUUUACUCAGCUGAGGAUCUCUAACCACACGACAUAUGUAGCACUUAAUCCUUGCAUAUGUCAACUCGACCCCAGGGUUCUUAAGACCAGAUCAGGUUCACGCAAACCGAGAGCACAGAUACACCACCGUCCAGCCUCUUGCCACGGAGGGUACACGCUACUCCCGCCACCGCUCCACGCCCAUUUCGUGUUAUCUUAUUCUGGCCUUAGUCUGCCCGAGGCAAAGCUUACCCUGUCCCAUUUCCAGGGUAUGCGGCUAGCUAAGAUAGUCCUUGCUCUAUCAAGCCUACAUACGCAUUCAAUCCUUAAUCAACCUGGGUAGAACAUCACCUGUUCCUAGCCCAAGUCUCGAUUUAAGUAUUUCCAUCCUUAGGAUUGUUUCUGUUCCUUAGGAUGAAAAGAGCAUCACAGGGAACUUUGCAGUAAGAUCCCACCAUGCUCCCAAUGAAAAUAUAUUCUUGCAGGUAGAAGUCAUCUUUCCUCAGGAUAACCCCUGAGCAAGGCCUUAACGCAAAAGACAACUUCCAUCCACAAGAUCUAAGCAGGGCUAAGCAUUUUUGUAAAUCAAAUUUUGAUACUUCCAAGAAGUAUCUAUAACGGGUAUGGAUAUCAAGGAAGGCAAUGCAUCAAAGGGUUUCAAGCAACUCCUAUAAACUUAAUGCACAUUUCACUAGACUUAAAGUGUGCGAAAAGUAUUUAAAAACACAAGGAAGGGGUUGCAUGCACCGGGGCUUGCCUUUGUUUAUAGAUGAGUUAGUCUCAGGCCCGCAGAUGUUAAAGUAGAGACGAGACCCUGCCUGAGACUCCAAAGGUGGUGUUGUCUUCGCUUCAGGGACUUCCACUUCUUCUUCGCGUUCUAAAUAUAACCAUAUAGGUAUAUAUAAGAAUGAAUGCCAUGUAAUGCAAACUCUUACAAGGAGAGGUGGAGAACAGAAACACUACAACUAAAGCACAUGACAAGAAUAUACCUAUUUCUUAUUGCUCGAUUAAAGUGACCAAAUUGAAAUCACUUGGGUAAACCAGGGAAUUACCCCAACCAAGGUCUCAAGCAAAAGCUUAAAACUCCUUAAGUAACUUCAUCCAAGGGUCAAGAUCUCACUAGAUCAACAUGCCUCUGCCCCAAAAGCACUUAGUUCCAUAAUUAAGUAAGGAUUUAAUAACUAUUUUUGGAAUUUUUCUGUGAUUUCUAACAUAAUUUAUAAGCUCUUGAUAAAAGAAAAGACAAGGCUGUCAACAGUGUUGGGCCCCAAAUUGCUGGCGCGACCCAACAACCAGGCAAAGCUGGCCCAAACCCGGGAGCCCGCGCCCGCUUUGGCCAUCUUGCCCAAAGGACCUUGCGCUCUGGUUAAAAUAAUCCGAGCUCCCAGCCACUGUUGCUUGUGUCUCUGACAUCUUCGCUAAAACCCCUCGGCUACCACUCUUUUACAAGCACUCGGCCCUGACACUGCCCGCUCGGACUCCGGUGACCCAGUGCCAGCUCGGCCAUGGUGGCGCAACACCGGCGACGGCGAUGGUACCCACGUGAACCCCGAAUCGCAGUGAACUCGGGUAUGGGCUCAAUCGAUCCGUGAGAACUCCACAACCCAUCUAUCGACAGCGACGGCAGAGCACUGGAUUUGACGAACUUAAUUCCCCGAUCACCGCACGGUAGUGUUCAAACAAACGGGCCAGGGAGCUUUAGAGACCUCUCGAGUCUACGGUGCGCGCAUGCAAUCGCUCGGGAACUGGCGUGGUUAAUAUAGUUCACACCGAGGCUGUCCUCGGCGCCCGACUGCGACGGCGCGACCAUGUUCUACUCAACGUAUGGUGGUAAAGCUUGAACAAACCACUUGAUCAGCUUCACUGAUCAAUACAGAGCAUGGAACACAAGCCAUACGGGUGAGAAACUUUCUAAGCAUACCUGGCCACGGUGAAAUGGAGGAUCUGCAGGUGUUCAGUGCCUUGAUUAAUGGAUUUGGGGCGUGUCCAGGUUAUGAUUUUGGAGGAAGGGAACACAAUACAACUAACUGAAGCUACACAUGGUGAUCAAGAACUGAGACAAGGAUUACUCCUCUGCUCCUGCUCCUUUCCCCCAUGGUUUGCUCUUUAUAUAGGCAGUGAAAGGAUCAAGGGGCUGGAUUUUUGAUCUUGCAACAAGGAUAACUAUGAAUACUAGGUGCAGCUGUGGCUCCCUCCAGAAGAUCCACGCAAUUACACAGAGCCUAGUCAGAUAGGGUGAAGUUUAUCCAGGGCAAAAAGGAGGGGAUAAGGAUGGAGCGCACUGUAGCAGAUUUUUGUACUGGUGAUAUUUCAGUGAUGCACCAAUCUGAAUACCCCUGCCAGCACUUCAUCUUUAUCUGAUCCCAGGUUGGUCACGGCAAGGAGGGUAAAUAUCAAGGGUAGAUAUUUUAGCUUUUCUGAAUCUUCAGCAGAUAACUGAUUCUCCCCCUUCAGUCAGCCCUUUCUCCAUAUUCUGAUUAAGAACAGGGAAAUCACCAUUAACAGAACUUGCUCAUUAGUCCAAGGUCUACCAAGUCUCUAUAGAUUUCAUGGACCCAAACCUCCUAGAAUAGAGGUUAUGGAAUUCAAAAGUUGACUGCAAAAUCUAGUUACCAUUUCUGUUUGCCUGAUCCAAAGUUUCAGUUUUUUGCCCCAUUGCCUUCUUCUUGACAGGGAUAGUUUUAGGCGCCCUUAUCUCCUAAAUCUCCAUAACACCAGGCCAAAGUUUCUUAAUCAAACUCUCUCAUGAAUACAAGCUUUUCAGCUUUGCUUAAAUCAACCUGGCACCAAGUCGCAUAGGACAGUACCAGCAAGGCCUCAAAGUUGCUCAGACAGAAAUUUAAAGUAGAUCAGUCUGAACUAUAUCCUUCAGUCUUGCGCAGCUGACUUAUCAUCUUUGGACGCCUGAAUCUUCCAACUUUGUAUAGUGUUAAGCUAUGGUCCUUUAAUAAAUAUUGUUCAUAGAUACUACCUCUCCCACUUUGCUGUAGAUACUUGGGCACAAAGCUACACGGAACAGCCUUUGCAAGCCCACAAAGUGGAGCAGACAGAUAGGUAUUCAGAACAGAGUUAUCUGAUGAGGACCCAUAAACCUGACAGUCCAAUUUGAGUAACCUUUAAUCAAAUAUUUGUGUAGAAUCAAGUCUAACCCUCUUCAUAAAACUUAUUCUCUGUACUAUGGACUCCAACUUUGCCACAUAGUUCAUAGUCCAAAACCACAAGGGUUGGUCACAAUAGGGCUCUAAACUUUGCAUCACUACUGAUUUCAGGCUUUAAAUUCUGAAUAGACUAAGUCACUAGCCACCUGACAGUCCAACCUUUGAGCAGCUGCUACUUCACUUUUUAUGUGGGAUCAUGUCCAUCAUCCUUCAAUAAAGUUGUUCACCAUUAGGUGGUCUUCAAUUCCUAUAUAUACUCUACAGUCUAAAACCUAAUGGAUUAGGCACAAAUGGGCUCCAAAAACAGCAACUUUCACAAAAAUUCAGUUUUCAGUAACUGAAUACAAUUCAGUUUCAGCCACAAACAGUCCACUUUGAACAAGUUUUUCUCCAUUUUCUGUGUAGGAUCAGGUCAAACUCACUUGAAUAAACUUGUUCAACAUCAUAUGGGCUUCAACUCCACUAUAAACACCACAACACAAAACCUUAUAGAAUGGCCACAAAUAGGCUUCAAAACUGCUAUCAAAACACUGAAAUUCAGUUUCAGUUACUGUUUCCAAUCUGAAAAUUCAGAAACACAGCAGCACCACGUAGAACCACUCUUUUUCCUGGGUUCCAACUGUUUUUAGGGGCAUGUUGCUUAAUAAAGUUUAUACUCCUAUAGUUCCUCUACAAGUUUGAUAUAGUGACUACUAACCAAAACCUCUUGAAUUCCAAACUACAAUAGCCCAAAGUUUGCUCCAAUUGCUGAAAUUCAGAAUCUGAAUUUCACUAAGUCUGAAAUCCACAAUUUUUGACAGCUUUACUUUGGACCAGUUUUACUCAAAGUUCCAUAUAGUUUUAGAGCUAUAUGACUUAACCAAACUUAUACUCCUCAUGUAGCUCUAUAACUUUGUUACAAUGAUCAUCUUCAAACUGUUUAUAGAUCAAAUGUUAUGAAGGCCCAAAAAUAGCUAGUUGAUAUUAUUUUCAGCAAACUUCAAAUCUGAUUCAAAACUGAAUUAAACUUUUUACUCCAACUUUUCCCCUAAAACUUGGAAUUCUCCAUACAUGAAAGUUGUUCAACUUUCCAAAAUCUACAACUUUGAUAUAUGGACCACUAGCAAAUUCUCUCUAGAUUUAAAACUCCACUUUAGGGCUAGUUGAGGGUUUCAAAUGUGACUCCUCAUCUAGUGAUUUAUCAACUCAAUCCAACUCUAGUACAUGAAACUCAUGUCCAAAGUGUCCUUGGUUUAGGAGUUGCUUUGCUUAUCCACAAAUCACAAGGAAGGUUUUCAAAUCUCACUUAGGGUUUUGAGGUCAAUCCUUCGGCCCAAGUAUUUCUUCCACUUGAUCUAACUUUGAAAACAAGGUUGCUAUAGACUCUAGGACUUGCCUUUAAUACUUUAAAUCCUAAGCCAGCUUACUACUUGCUCAAGAGACGACUUCUCUUCCCAUGUCUUAAGCAAAGUUCUUAAUCUGAGCCCUAUACUCUUAUACACAACACCACAUUCAUUGAAAAUUUUUGACCUAGUGAAUGCAUUCUAGGUGUAACAAGCACAUUAAUGCAGAUGCUUAUGAUGACAUGUCAGAGUUUUAGUUUACGUAACACCAGGGGUGUUACAGCCUUCCCCCCUAAAAGAAAUCUCGUCCCGAGAUUUAAAAGUCUAGGCUCAGUAACGGAAAAGGAAAUGUGUCACAAACUUAUUUCCCAAUUUCUCCUACCAAACAGGGGUGUGCCACUGUUGGUUUAAAAUUCACAAACCCUAAGGUUUUCCAAAAACUCAAAACUUAGGGCAAGGACUUUGUCUUCUAAAUAUCCCUCUGACCAUCUACAUGGUUUCAUCUUCUGUGGGGGUAGUUCCACUGUACCCUGUAAGACUUGAUAUCUUUCUGUGUUUUAUCCAAGAUGUUGCAUCUAAUUUGGAUAAAGUCUAUCCAUUUGUCCAAACUCACAUGGGAAAUCAGGUGAUACCAUUUCAUCACAAAACAUAAUUAAAAAUUAUGGUCUCAGCGUGUGCUAAGUCAUUUAUCCGCACACGCGCAUUCGCAUGGAAUAUCCAAAGGAAUAGCCAUCAUAACUCUUGAAGUUUGACAAACUACUAUAGAUAUUAAAAGUUGCCUCUGAAACAGGCAGUCGUUUCUUACACCAUAGUCAUAGAAAAGCUCACAGGUUACAUGAUCCAGGUGAAACAGGAUAAACUCUUUACAACAAAGUUUAACCUGUUUUUUUUUUACUAGCUAACAUUGCCAUAUGGGUUUACCUUACACCCACCCUUCAAAACUAAUUUACAUAGUUAUAUUACCUCACGAGGAUUAACUUGCCUGCUAUAUCUUCUCCAGUUAUCACAUCUGCCAGAUGUUUGUUUCCAUGCUCCAUAGGUACCUUUUAGUCCGUUGGUGUUGGGGCAGAAUAAAAGGCGCCAUUGAGCAUAUGCACCGUUUGUUGCAGAUGGUUGACCAGUCGCUGCGCUGCUUGAAAUUCCAUUGGAUGAGCACAAUUCAAUUCCUUGAUCGCCUGAUCCUGAUGGCUUAUGAAUCUUAGGGUUUCCUUAAGGUCUUCUCUAACAGCAACAACAUACAAGUGAAUUUCUUCUUGUUGCUGACUUAGAACUUCUGAUUUAGAAUGAGCAUUAGUUAGCUGAUGCUCAAGCUCCUUAAUGUGAUUCUGAUCAGCUUGGUGUUGCGUCUGAAGUUCUGUCACCUGAUGCUUUAGUCCAAUAACCUGUUCUGCUUGAACCUUUGUUUCCUCCAGUCGUUCUUGUGCCUGGGUACAAGCCCUAUUCUUGGCCGUUUCCAUCAUCUUAAAUGCUGCAUAACUCCCAGUGUACAACUGCUGCCACUUUUGACGACUGUGCCCUCGAGUAAGCUGCAACUCUAGCACGGCCAUCAAUACUCGAGCAGAUGCCGAUUCUACAGAAUCCUGCCCAAUAGGAAUGCUUUCCAAUAAUCGGGCCUGGUGAUGAUACACCAAUGGGUCACUUAAAGCAACUGCAGGGAACAACCUCAUAGAUGUGGCUUGUAUUUCCUCCCAUUUCUGGUAACAAAUGGUUGUUAGCGCCUCUAAGGCAGCUACCUGAGCACCCUCCCAAGGAGUCAUUCCUUCAGCAUGGAACAUCCAAUGUGGCCAAGAUGGCUUUCUAGCACGUUCUGGAAUACGCGCUACUACCUCAUACCAUGGUUGUCCUCUAAGAACAGUGCGUGACCACUGGUACUUGGGUGUUUCGAUAUAUCCGACUUCUUGAAGUAGUCGCCACAGGACCAAUGGAACACCAAAAUCUCGUAGAAACUCUCCAACUCCGGUAGGGGCUUCUUGUUGAUUCAUCUUCAGAGAAGAGCAACGGAACACUCUACUUACUAAAAAUGUAUGAACAAGGUAGCUACAUAGGGGGUUUAAUUUAAAGGUUGUAUGACAUGAUGCAUGUGUAAAUACAGAAUCAACCUUAGUUGAUUCAUCCUUCUAUACGUUGCACUCUUCCUAUCUGGUCUUUUAAGAUAAACUCUUCAGAAUACUUAGGUAAGAAAGGAAGAAAGUUUCUAGGUAAGAAUUUUAGAAAAUCCUUUUGAAGAUGCCUCAUAAUAUCUGCAAAGAAGGGCUACGCUCCGAUACUAGCUGUGACGGAACCUCCCAAGUAAUUAGACCCACCUACAGUUGUCCUUGUCCAACAGACAUCAGACACCCUGUAGAUGUUCCUAAGUCACUUGACAAGUUUGGUAUCUUUCCUUACCUUACCAGGAACGUUUCACCCGUCUUGCAGACAUUACAGAACAUCGGAGAUAAAGAAAUGCGGAAGCAAUUACAUAAACUUACAUUUGUUUAGAAAGUAAGAUCAAGUUACUUUUUACAGACCAGAGCUAUAAACGAGUGCUGAGUAUUAUUAUUACACAUAUCAAGGGAGGCAGAAACUCCUCCCGAUAGCUUUUAAACAAAAAGAUCCUAUAUGGAGGACCACGUCCUCCCGCAUCUUCACUCUUGUUUUUCUUCAUUUGGUACCACCUUGGAGCAAAAGCAACAAAAAUUUGUCGCUUCCUCACCUAAAAACAACAAAGGGAUAAACCCUGAGUAUGGAAUUACUCAGCAAGUCUUACCCGACUAAGGAAAAGACUCUCAAGGGUAUGCUGGAUAAAUAGGAGUCAAGGAGAGGCUUUAGCAAAAAUCAACUUAUACUUUUGCAGAAGUAGCUUACUAAAGUGAGUCCUUACUUUCAAUCUUUUAACGCCAUAUUAAGUAUUAAUAGACUCUAUUUGCAUCUAGUCUAAUUUCACAUCACAUCAAGACAACAUCAUUUUUAUCCAUAGUGUUCACAUCCUGACUUUAGGUUGCAGGUCAGUGAUCAAGUCUCCACUCUCCGGGGAUAUAACGGCGAUCCGAAUCGAUUUACUCAGCUGAGGAUCUCUAACCACACGACAUAUGUAGCACUUAAUCCUUCCAUAUGUCAACUCGACCCCAGGGUUCUUAAGACCAGAUUAGGUUCACGCAAACCGAGAGCACAGAUACACCACCGUCCAGCCUCUUGCCACGGAGGGUACACGCUACUCCUGCCACCGCUCCACGCCCAUUUCGUGUUAUCUUAUUCUGGCCUUAGUCUGCCCGAGGCAAAGCUUGCCCUGUCCCAUUUCCAGGGUAUGCGGCUAGCUAAGAUAGUCCUUGCUCUAUCAAGCCUACAUACGCAUUCAAUCCUUAAUCAACCUGGGUAGAACAUCACCUGUUCCUAGCCCAAGUCUCGAUUUAAGUAUUUCCAUCCUUAGGAUUGUUUCUGUUCCUUAGGAUGAAAAGAGCAUCAUAGGGAACUUUGCAGUAAGAUCCCACCAUGCUCCCAAUGAAAAUAUAUUCUUGCAGGUAGAAGUCAUCUUUCCUCAGGAUAACCCCUGAGCAAGGCCUUAACGCAAAAGACAACUUCCAUCCACAAGAUCUAAGCAGGGCUAAGCAUUUUUGUAAAUCAAAUUUUGAUACUUCCAAGAAGUAUCUAUAACGGGUAUGGAUAUCAAGGAAGGCAAUGCAUCAAAGGGUUUCAAGCAACUCCUAUAAACUUAAUGCACAUUUCACUAGACUUAAAGUGUGCGAAAAGUAUUUAAAAACACAAGGAAGGGUUUGCAUGCACCGGGGCUUGCCUUUGUUUAUAGAUGAGUUAGUCUCAGGCCCGCAGAUGUUAAAGUAGAGACGAGACCCUGCCUGAGACUCCAAAGGUGGUGUUGUCUUCGCUUCAGGGACUUCCACUUCUUCUUCGCGUUCUAAAUAUAACCAUAUAGGUAUAUAUAAGAAUGAAUGCCAUGUAAUGCAAACUCUUACAAGGAGAGGUGGAGAACAGAAACACUACAACUAAAGCACAUGACAAGAAUAUACCUAUUUCUUAUUGCUCGAUUAAAGUGACCAAAUUGAAAUCACUUGGGUAAACCAGGGAAUUACCCCAACCAAGGUCUCUAGCAAAAGCUUAAAACUCCUUAAGUAACUUCAUCCAAGGGUCAAGAUCUCACUAGAUCAACAUGCCUCUGCCCCAAAAGCACUUAGUUCCAUAAUUAAGUAAGGAUUUAAUAACUAUUUUUGGAAUUUUUCUGUGAUUUCUAACAUAAUUUAUAAGCUCUUGAUAAAAGAAAAGACAAGGCUAUCAACAGUGUUGGGCCCCAAAUUGCUGGCGCGACCCAACAACCAGGCAAAGCUGGCACAAACCCGGGAGCCCGCGCCCGCUUUGGCCAUCUUGCACAAAGGACCUUGCGCUCUGGUUAAAAUAAUCCGAGCUCCCAGCCACUGUUGCUUGUGUCUCUGACAUCUUCGCUAAAACCCCUCGGCUACCACUGUUUUACAAGCACUCGGCCCUGACACUGCCCGCUCGCACUCCGGUGACCCAGUGCCAGCUCGGCCAUGGUGGCGCAACACCGGCGACGGCGAUGGUACCCACGUGAACCCCGAAUCGCAGUGAACUCGGGUAUGGGCUCAAUCGAUCCGUGAGAACUCCACAACCCAUCUAUCGACAGCGAUGGCAGAGCACUGGAUUUGACGAACUUAAUUCCCCGAUCACCGCACGGUAGUGUUCAAACAAACGGGCCAGGGAGCUUUAGAGACCUCUCGAGUCUACGAUGCGCGCAUGCAAUCGCUCGGGAACUGGCGUGGUUAAUAUAGUUCACACCGAGGCUGUCCUCGGCGCCCGACUGCGACGGCGCGACCAUGUUCUACUCAACGUAUGGUGGUAAAGCUUGAACAAACCACUUGAUCAGCUUCACUGAUCAAUACAGAGCAUGGAACACAAGCCAUACGGGUGAGAAACUUUCUAAGCAUACCUGGCCACGGUGAAGUGGAGGAUCUGCAGGUGUUCAGUGCCUUGAUUAAUGGAUUUGGGGCGUGUCCAGGUUAUGAUUUUGGAGGAAGGGAACACAGUACAACUAACUGAAGCUACACAUGGUGAUCAAGAACUGAGACAAGGAUUACUCCUCUGCUCCUGCUCCUUUCCCCCCAUGGUUUGCUCUUUAUAUAGGCAGUGAAAGGAUCAAGGGGCUGGAUUUUUGAUCUUGCAACAAGGAUAACUAUGAAUACUAGGUGCAGUUGUGGCUCCCUCCAGAAGAUCCACGCAAUUAC